rnacentral:lncRNA from 1 species
AAGGAAGUAGUCCAAAUUCUUCAUCUUGUGGUAUGCAGCUUUGUUGGAGAUUCUGUCAGUGAAAGAAUACUUGCAUCAAAGAGACCAUGGCCACCUCAAGGCUAAUGUCAAGAUCUCCAAGAGAUAUUGCCAAUGUCAUGCAGAGACUUCAAGAUUUCUACAAGACAGACUAAAACCAGCAUGGUUUCCAUUGCAACUUUUGGUGUGUCUUCAAAAGCAGACAUAGACUUCUGGACUGUGGGACUUAUGAACUUCACUCCUGUGCAAGGUACUCGAAGAGGCAAAAGAUCUACCCUGAACUAGUUCAUGUUAAUCUUUUGCUUGACU